UACAGAGGGUGCGAGCGUUAAUCGGAAUUACUGGGCGUAAAGCGUGCGUAGACGGUUAUCUAAGUCGGAUGUGAAAGCCCCGGGCUCAACCUGGGAAUUGCAUUCGAGACUGCAUUGCUAGAGUAUGGGAGAGGGAAGCGGAAUUUCUGGUGUAGCAGUGAAAUGCGUAGAUAUCAGAAGGAACAUCAGUGGCGAAGGCGGCUUCCUGGACCAAUACUGACGAUCAGGUGCGAAAGCCGUGGGGAGCAAACAGG
rnacentral:rRNA from 1 species